GUAGGUGAACCUGCGGAAGGAUCAUUAUUGAGUUCGGGGGGCCUAGCCCUCAGCGAUGGGUGUCGUAUCGAGUCUAUCUAGGCUCGAGCCGGCAUUCGUCGCGUCUCUCAACCCCAUGUUUACCAUACCUUUGUUGCUUUGGCGGGUCUUGAGUAGGCUACACGGCUCAUGCCAGCCCUAGGCUUCAUUACCUAGGGAUGGCUCGCGCCCGCCAGAGGUUUAUUUAAAAAUCCUAAAUAUUAGUGAUGUC
rnacentral:misc_RNA from 1 species